UUAGUGGCGAAACGAACGCUGGCGGCGUGCUUAACACAUGCAAGUCGAACGAUGAACCACUUCGGUGGGGAUUAGUGGCGAACGGGUGAGUAACGUGGGCAAUCUGCCCUUCACUCUGGGACAAGCCCUGGAAACGGGGUCUAAUACCGGAUACGACACUCUCGGGCAUCCGAUGAGUGGAUGAGCCCGCGGCCUAUCAGCUUGUUGGUGAGGUAACGGCUCACCAAGGCGACGACGGGUAGCCGGCCUGAGAGGGCGACCGGCCACACUGGGACUGAGACACGGCCCAGGUCCUACGGGAGGCAGCAGUGGGGAAUAUUGCACAAUGGGCGAAAGCCUGAUGCAGCGACGCCGCGUGAGGGAUGACGGCCUUCGGGUUGUAAACCUCUUUCAGCAGGGAAGAAGCGAAAGUGACGGUACCUGCAGAAGAAGCGCCGGCUAACUACGUGCCAGCAGCCGCGGUAAUACGUAGGGCGCGAGCGUUGUCCGGAAUUAUUGGGCGUAAAGAGCUCGUAGGCGGUCUGUCGCGUCGGAUGUGAAAGCCCGGGGCUUAACCCCGGGUCUGCAUUCGAUACGGGCAGACUAGAGUGUGGUAGGGGAGAUCGGAAUUCCUGGUGUAGCGGUGAAAUGCGCAGAUAUCAGGAGGAACACCGGUGGCGAAGGCGGAUCUCUGGGCCAUUACUGACGCUGAGGAGCGAAAGCGUGGGGAGCGAACAGGAUUAGAUACCCUGGUAGUCCACGCCGUAAACGGUGGGAACUAGGUGUUGGCGACAUUCCACGUCGUCGGUGCCGCAGCUAACGCAUUAAGUUCCCCGCCUGGGGAGUACGGCCGCAAGGCUAAAACUCAAAGGAAUUGACGGGGGCCCGCACAAGCAGCGGAGCAUGUGGCUUAAUUCGACGCAACGCGAAGAACCUUACCAAGGCUUGACAUACACCGGAAACGGCCAGAGAUGGUCGCCCCCUUGUGGUCGGUGUACAGGUGGUGCAUGGCUGUCGUCAGCUCGUGUCGUGAGAUGUUGGGUUAAGUCCCGCAACGAGCGCAACCCUUGUUCUGUGUUGCCAGCAUGCCCUUCGGGGUGAUGGGGACUCACAGGAGACUGCCGGGGUCAACUCGGAGGAAGGUGGGGACGACGUCAAGUCAUCAUGCCCCUUAUGUCUUGGGCUGCACACGUGCUACAAUGGCAGGUACAAUGAGCUGCGAAGCCGUGAGGCGGAGCGAAUCUCAAAAAGCCUGUCUCAGUUCGGAUUGGGGUCUGCAACUCGACCCCAUGAAGUCGGAGUUGCUAGUAAUCGCA
rnacentral:rRNA from 1 species